rnacentral:rRNA from 1 species
GACGAAGGUGGCGAGCGUUGUUCGGAAUCACUGGGCAUAAGGCGCACGUAGGCGGUGUCGUAAGUCGGGUGUGAAAUCCCUCGGCCUAACCGAGGAACUGCGCCCGAUACUGCGAUGCUUGAGGACCAGAGGGGUGCAUGGAAUUUCCGGUGGAGCGGUGAAAUGCGUUGAUAUCGGAAGGAACUCCGGCGGCGAAAGCGAUGCACUGGCUGGUUUCUGACGCUGAGGUGCGAAAGCCAGGGGAGCAAACGGG